AAUUUGGUGAUUGAACCUCAGAAAGCGUCACCUGCAACGAUAUCAGUUGUUUUGGAAGUAAACACAAGGACUUGCGUCACUUUUUAAUCUUUUAAGGGUUUUUGACCAAUCUAUAUUACGCCGUAGGUGAAAUAUUCGAUAUGCACAUGAUC